AAGUAUUUUAUAAGAGAACUGAGUGCCCAAUCUCAUCUGAUCACGGAAGCUAAGCCGGGUCGUGCCUGGUCAGUACUUGGAUCGGAGACCACCUUGGAAGACCAGCAGGUUGCGUC
rnacentral:rRNA from 12 species